ACAGUGGACCUGGAGAACCGGUUCCAGAUCUACGGAGCAGCAGUGGGGAAAUAUGCCAUGAGGAAACUCUGAUGCAGCAUCGCCGCUGGAGGAUGACGCAUUUCGGUGUGUAAACUCUUUUAUAUUGGGAAGAAUAAUGACGGUACAUAUGAAUAAGCACCGGCUAACUCGUGCCAGCAGCCGCGGUUAAUACGGAGGGUGCAAGCGUUACUCGGAAUCACUGGGCGUAAAGCGCGCGCAGGCGGCCUUUUAAGUUGGAUGUGAAAGCUACGGCUCAACCCGUAGAACUGCAUCCAAAACUAUUGGGCUAGAGUGUGGGAGAGGAAGAUGGAAUUAGUUGUGUAGGGGUAAAAUCCGUAGAGAUAACUAGGAAUACCAAAAGCGAAGGCAAUCUUCUGGAACAUUACUGACGCUGAGGCGCGAAAGCGUGGGGAGCAAACAGGAUUAGAUACCCUGGUAGUCCACGCCCUAAACGAUGAAUGUUAGUCGUCGGGUAGCUAGUCUAUUCGGUGAUGCAGCUAACGCAUUAAACAUUCCGCCUGGGGAGUACGGUCGCAAGAUUAAAACUCAAAGGAAUAGACGGGGACCCGCACAAGUGGUGGAGCAUGUGGUUUAAUUCGAAGAUACGCGAAGAACCUUACCUAGCCUUGACAUAUAUUAGAACACUUUAGAGAUAGAGUGGUGCCUUCGGGAGCUUUUAUACAGGUGCUGCACGGCUGUCGUCAGCUCGUGUCGUGAGAUGUUGGGUUAAGUCCCGCAACGAGCGCAACCCUCGUCACUAGUUACUAACGGUUCGGCCGAGGACUCUAGUGAGACUGCCUUCGUAAGGAGGAGGAAGGUGAGGACGACGUCAAGUCAUCAUGGCCCUUACGGCUAGGGCAACACACGUGCUACAAUGGCCAGGACAAUGAGACGCGAUACCGCGAGGUGGAGCAAAUCUAUAAACCUGGUCUCAGUUCGAAUUGUAGUCUGCAACUCGACUACAUGAAGCUGGAAUCACUAGUAAUCGUAGAUCAGCUAUGCUACGGUGAAUACGUUCCCGGGUCUUGUACUCACCGCCCGUCACACCAUGGGAGUUGAUUUCACCCGAAGCGGGGAAGCUAAACUGGCUACCCUCCACGGUGGAAUCAGCGACUGGGGUGAAGUCGUAACAAGGU
rnacentral:rRNA from 1 species